CCGGCGCACGGGUGAGUAACACGUAUCCAACCUGCCGUCUACUCUUGGCCAGCCUUCUGAAAGGAAGAUUAAUCCAGGAUGGGAUCAUGAGUUCACAUGUCCGCAUGAUUAAAGGUAUUUUCCGGUAGACGAUGGGGAUGCGUUCCAUUAGAUAGUAGGCGGGGUAACGGCCCACCUAGUCAACGAUGGAUAGGGGUUCUGAGAGGAAGGUCCCCCACAUUGGAACUGAGACACGGUCCGA
rnacentral:rRNA from 1 species